AUUGAACGCUGGCGGCAUGCUUUACACAUGCAAGUCGAACGCUUGGCGGACGGGUGAGUAAUGUCUCGGAAAUUGCCCGAUGGAUGGGGAUACCUACUGGAAACGGUAGCUAAUACCGCAUACCAUCGGAUUGGCCCAGAUGGGAUUCGCUAGUAUGUGGGGUAAAGGCUCACCUAGGCGACGAUCCCUGGCUGGUCUGAGAGGAGGACCAGCAACACGGGAACUGAGACACGGUCCAGACCCCUACGAGAGGCAGCAGGGGGGAAUAUUGCACAAGGGGCGCAAGCCUGAUGCGGCCACGCGGGGUGUAUGAAGAAGGCCUUCGGGUUGUAAAGUACUUUCAGCGGGGAGGGGUUACUCGCAGAAGAAGCACCGGCUAACUCCGUGCCAGCAGCCGCGGUAAUU
rnacentral:rRNA from 1 species